UCAGUAUUCAGUUUAGCUUGUAGCUCCAAUGAAUCUACCAGUGUUGUUGCAGUAGGUAGCUAAUCAGGCAUCAGUGGGCAGGAGAGGGCUCCACCAAAACCCCACCAGGAAUGUCAGGCAUCAGGUGAUGGUCAGGCGGUUGUUAACUGUCUCUCUAAAAUAAUAAUUGGUUGCAGCCAGCAGCAGGGAAAGGCAGUCUUUCUACAGAUAGGAAACACCUGAGACUGGUGAUCAGCCGCUUCCUGAUGAGAUCUCAGGAGUGAGCUCGAGCAUGCGCAUUAAGAAACAAAAUGGCCGAGUUUAACUGGUAUGUGAACGUUUUAAGAUUUGACUCAGGGGCAUAAAGGCAGAAAAAGAGACUGAGGCAAGUUUUAGGGCAGGAGUGGAAGGCAAGAAUUGAUGUUGCUGCAGACCUGUACGGAUUUGCUGCUGGAGGUCUCUUUUCCACUGGAGCCUACUUUGAAAUCAGCUGAGGAGCCACCAAAUCCUAUGGCCACCUGGGCUGUGCCCUAUGAACAGCUCUCUAUUGAAAGAGAGCUACUAGGUUGACUGAUGGCAGUUCCAAGGUGGAUAAUCAACAUCCUGUUUGGAAGACUACUGUACUACAUCAGAUGAUGGAAAAGUUCUGAUUGAGGAAGGUUACAUCUACUACAAUACUGCAGAUACAGUAUAACAUUGGUAUUGCUGGUAUGAUUCCUCUCCCUUAGGGGUGUGCCUUCACUCUUUAUCUGACCUUCUUCUGGAUACAGCAAACACUUGUGGACCAGCUGCACUGAAGCAUUAAACAAGGCGACCAUCCUAUUCUAUUUCCUGUGUAUUUUCUAUAUUGCAUGUCUUCUUCCAAAGUU
rnacentral:lncRNA from 1 species